UAAAGCGUGCGCAGGCGGUUUUGUAAGACUGUCGUGAAAUCCCCGGGCUCAACCUGGGAAUGCGAUGGUGACUGCAAGGCUAGAGUUUGGCAGAGGGGGGUAGAAUUCCACGUGUAGCAGUGAAAUGCGUAGAUAUGUGGAGGAACACCGAUGGCGAAGGCAGCCCCCUGGGUCAAAACUGACGCUCAUGCACGAAAGCGUGGGGAGCAAACAGGAUUAGAUACCCUAGU
rnacentral:rRNA from 1 species